CCUACGGGAGGCAGCAGUGAGGAAUAUUGGUCAAUGGGCGCGAGCCUGAACCAGCCAAGUAGCGUGAAGGAUGACUGCCCUACGGGUUGUAACCUUCUUUUAUAAAGGAAUAAAGUGAGGCACGUGUGCCUUUUUGUAUGUCUUUUAUGAAUAAGCAUCGGCUCACUCCGUGCCAGCAGCCGCGGUAAUACGGAGGAUCCGAGCGUUAUCCGGAUUUAUUGGGUUUAAAGGGAGCGUAGAUGGGUUGUUAAGUCAGUUGUGAAAGUUUGCGGCUCAACCGUAAAAUUGCAUUUGAUACUGGCAGCCUUGAGUGCAGUUGAGGUAGGCGGAAUUCGUGGUGUAGCGGUGAAAUGCUUAGAUAUCACGAAGAACUCCGAUUGCGAAGGCAGCCUGCUAAACUGCCACUGACAUUGAUGCGCGAAAGUGUGGGUAUCAAACAGGAUUAGAUACCCGUGUAGUC
rnacentral:rRNA from 1 species